UCCUCAAGCUAGCCCACCUCAUCUGAUCC
rnacentral:piRNA from 1 species